rnacentral:rRNA from 1 species
CUGGCUCAGGAUGAACGCUGGCGGCGUGCUUAACACAUGCAAGUCGAACGGGGAAACAUGAAGAAGUUUCGGAUGGAAUUACGUUUCUAGUGGCGGACGGGUGAGUAACGCGUAAACAAUCUGCCUUAGAGAGGGGGAUAACAGAUAGAAAUAUUUGCUAAUACCGCAUAAGACCACAGGUAGGCAUCUACUAGGGGUAAAAGGAGCAAUCCGCUUUAAGAUGAGUUUGCGUACUAUUAGCUAGUUGGUGAGGUAACGGCCCACCAAGGCGACGAUGGUUAGCCGGCCUGAGAGGGUGAACGGCCACAUUGGAACUGAGAUACGGUCCAGACUCCUACGGGAGGCAGCAGUGAGGAAUAUUGGGCAAUGGGCGAAAGCCCUGACCCAGCAACGCCGCGUGAAGGAAGAAGGUUUUAGGAUUGUAAACUUCUGUUGUAAGGGAAAAAGAAAGUGAUGGUACCUUACGAGGAAGCUACGGCAAACUAUGUGCCAGCCGCUGC